rnacentral:rRNA from 1 species
UACGAAGGGGGCUAGCGUUGCUCGGAAUCACUGGGCGUAAAGCGUGCGCAGGCGGUUUUGUAAGUCUGUCGUGAAAGCCCCGGGCUCAACCUGGGAAUUGCGAUGGAGACUGCAAGGCUUGAAUCUGGCAGAGGGGGGUAGAAUUCCACGUGUAGCAGUGAAAUGCGUAGAGAUGUGGAGGAACACCGAUGGCGAAGGCAGCCCCCUGGGUCAAGAUUGACGCUCAUGCACGAAAGCGUGGGGAGCAAACAGG